rnacentral:rRNA from 1 species
UACGUAGGGUGCUAGCGUUGCUCGGAAUCACUGGGCGUAAAGCGCACGUAGGCCGCUUACUAAGUCAGGGGUGAAAUCCUGGAGCUCAACUCCAGAACUGCCUUUGAUACUGGUGAGCUUGAGUCCGGGAGAGGUGAGUGGAACUGCGAGUGUAGAGGUGAAAUUCGUAGAUAUUCGCAAGAACACCAGUGGCGAAGGCGGCUCACUGGCCCGGUACUGACGCUGAGGUGCGAAAGCGUGGGGAGCAAACAGG